AUAGGUGAGAGUUUUCUUAACCAUAGGCACGAGGCUUUCGUAAACAUUUAAACUAUCUCCACAUAUAUGUACGAAUCAUGCACCAAAUAUCUGUAUUUCUUCAACUUUGAAAAAUAUACUCCAUCCUAGCGUGUUAGGUUCAUAUGAUUUCUUCUGCUGAAUUUUAAUACAUUA
rnacentral:sRNA from 1 species